rnacentral:rRNA from 1 species
AUUGAACGCUGGCGGCAGGCCUAACACAUGCAAGUCGAGCGAGCGGCGGACGGGUGAGUAAUGUCUGGGAAACUGCCUGAUGGAGGGGGAUAACUACUGGAAACGGUAGCUAAUACCGCAUAACAUCAGAUGUGCCCAGAUGGGAUGGGCUGGUAGGUGGGGUAACGGCUCACCUAGUCGACGCUCCCUAGCUGGUCUGAGAGGAUGACCCGCCACAUGGGAACUGAGACACGGUCCAGACUCCUACGGGAGGCAGCAGGGGGGAAUAUUGCACAAUGGGCGCAAGCCUGAUGCAGCCAUGCCGCGUGUGUGAAGAAGGCCUUAGGGUUGUAAAGCACUUUCAGCGGGGAGGCGUUACCCGCAGAAGAAGCACCGGCUAACCCCGUGCCAGCCGCCGCGGUAAUUC